rnacentral:rRNA from 1 species
AUUGAACGCUGGCGGCAUGCUUUACACAUGCAAGUCGAACGGCAGCGGGGUAGUGCUUGCACUACUGCCGGCGAGUGGCGAACGGGUGAGUAAUAUAUCGGAACGUACCGAGUAAUGGGGGAUAACCAAUCGAAAGAUUGGCUAAUACCGCAUACGUCCUGAGGGAGAAAGCGGGGGAUCGCAAGACCUCGCAUUAUUCGAGCGGCCGAUAACUGAUUAGCUAGUUGGUGGGGUAAAGGCCUACCAAGGCGACGAUCAGUAGCGGGUCUGAGAGGACGAUCCGCCACACUGGGACUGAGACACGGCCCAGACUCCUACGGGAGGCAGCAGUGGGGAAUUUUGGACAAUGGGGGCAACCCUGAUCCAGCCAUGCCGCGUGUAUGAAGAAGGCCUUCGGGUUGUAAAGUACUUUUGUUAGGGAAGAAAAGGGAAGUGCUAAUACCACUUUUUGCUGACGGUACCUAAAGAAUAAGCACCGGCUAACUACGUG